rnacentral:rRNA from 1 species
AGUUAGUGGCGGACGGGUGAGUAACGCGUGGAAAACCUGCCGUAUACUGGGGGAUAACACUUAGAAAUAGGUGCUAAUACCGCAUAAGCGCACAGCUUCGCGUGAAGCGGUGUGAAAAACUCUGGUGGUAUACGAUGGUUCCGCGUCUGAUUAGCUAGUUGGUGGGGUAAUGGCCUACCAAGGCAACGAUCAGUAGCCGGCCUGAGAGGGUGAACGGCCACAUUGGGACUGAGACACGGCCCAAACUCCUACGGAAGGCAGCAG